CCAAUGAUUCUAAUGGACAGCCACCUCUGAGAAGCGUUAGGCAGCCCGAGAAGGGGAAAUCCUGAAGGCAGUGGGGGGAGGUGGCCACCAGCGACUUGCCACCCCCUCCCGAGACAGAGCCAGCGCAGGAGGGUGUGACCAGCAUCAGGGAGGCGGGGAGACACAGUGACAGGACGGUGACAGUUUGGGUGUCCUUUCCGCCCGUGCGCGCGACGGGACGGAGGGGCAGGGGUUUCCUCCUUGGGAACGCUGUCUGUCUGGCAGCCAAGGAAGGCCGCGGCCUCUGGGGAUCCCCGCCCGUAUCGAGCGCCCCUUGCCGAGGGAACCUGGCUCGGCGAGCGGUGCGCGCAGGCUCGGAGGCGUGAGAGCGGGCCGGGCGGCGGCGCGGCCGGGAGCGGGUGACUCACCGGGCGGGGGCGGCUGGGGGCGGCUAGGGGCGGCCGCGGAGCCAACUGCAGCAGCAGCGGGCCCAGCCUGCCCCGCAACAGCCAGCGCGGCUCCUGGAGGGAAACGAGCAAGGCGGCCCCGCAGGUGUGGCGCGGCCCUGGGAGGGCGCGUGCGAGCGCUGCUUUGUUUGGUGCCCGCACAGCCCCGGGCUCCAGGCCUGAGCGCCAACCUUCCCGAGCUGAGUCACGGCUGCAGAGCCCGAGGGCGGCCAUACGGCCCCGCCCGGAAGGAUGAGGCCCCUUCCUGAAGCUGGCGAGUCCGAUGCGGUGGCAGGGACAAAAGCCAGGGGAAGGUGGCUUCUAUUCUACAAAGCCCUUUAGGGAAGGGGGGAGUCAGGCCGCCCUCACCCAGUGCAGGUCCGUCACGAUGGUCACCCAGAGCACUCACGCAGAAAGCCAGCUUGCAGCCGCCAGCCCUGAGGAUGCCGCCCCCAAAGGGCUCAUUGCUCUAAUCACCCGUCCAGGGGCUUGAGGCAAAGCUCCAAGACAGACCUGUAGCAGCAUGGCCCAAAAAGUUCCUCUGCUGCCCCAGUCCCAUACCUGCCUGAGGUACGGGGGUUCAGGCUGAGUCGGCUGACCUGGAGUCAUCUGGAAGCCUUGUCAGAAAUGCAGAUUCUGCAGUGCUGUUCCCAGAGGAUGAGAUUCAGCAGAACUGGGUGUUGGAUAUUAUAUGAAGAGAUUUGCAAGUGUUAUUUUACGUAAUUCGCACUUUACAAAGGAGGAAACUGCAGCGCAGGUACCAAGGUUGCCCCAUCUCGGUCCAGGCCUGCUCCCGGCGAGCCACUCGCCCUUGACCACGCCUCCUCUCUCCUGAUUGGCUGUCAGGCAUGAGUCGACAGAGAAAGAUGACCACUGCCCUCACCCCACUAAAGAAGCCCCAGCACUUAGCAAGCACUUAUGGCCCAGAGCAGACUGUCUCUACUUCAUUUCACUCUCCACACCCAGACUUGGACCACACUUGGAAAAGAACCAGCCAGUCCUGGAGGCUGCAUAUUGUGGAUAGCAGGACUCCACUCACAUCUCAAAGCUCCUCCCUGCCCAUUCCCAUGGUCCCUCCAGCCCUUGGGCAAUACUACCAAUAAGAAGGAGAAAUGAGCUGGAUUUCACUUCCUUUGGAGCAGGUGUGAAUAAACAGAAUUGUCCCAAACUUGGGCAGCAGAAGUGGGGAAAGAAGAAAGGCAACCGGCCAGGCGCGGUGGCUCACGCCUGUAAUCCCAGCAUUUGGGGAGGCCCAGGCGGAUCACCUGAGGUCAGGAGUUUGAGAACAACCUGGCCAACAUGGUGAAACCCAUCUCUACUAAAAAAAUACAAAAAUUAGCCAGGCAUGAUAGCUACUUGGGAGGCUGAGGCAGGAGAAUCUCUUGAACCCGAGAGGUGGAGUUUGCAGUGAGCUGAGAUCAUGCCACUGCACUCCAGCCUUGGUGACAGAGCGAGACUCCAUCUCAAAAAAAAAAAAAAAAAAAAAAAACCAGAAGAGAGCAACCAAUACUUAUGAAGCCUCUGAUAGUUACUCAAAUGCCACCAGUAAACCCACGAGACGCACAGGCUGGGAUUGGUAAGGCAACUUGCCCAAGGUCACCCAGCUAGAAAAGGCUAGAGGCGGGCGAGAGGGGAGCUCCAGAACCACCCCAAACACACUGCCUCCCCCACACCACUGCCUCCCCAACACUGCCUUCAAGAAAGAGAAAUCGAAGGACCUGGACAAUUUGCAAGCUGACUGCUCAGCUUCUGGACUCAUCCACCGCGUUUGUCAGAAGUCCCUGCAGAUGCCCGGCCACUAUGCCAGUACUCUCGUCUCGGGCUGCACUUGGAACUGGGUGGACAGCUGUAGAAGGACUACUAGUGCCUGGGCCCACCCCUUCUCCCCACCCCCAGUGCCUCACUUAACUGUCUGAGAUUCAGCCUAAGCACUGGGCUUUUAAAGUUCCCAGGUGACCGUUGCCCUCCGGGAUCCAUAUUCUCUUCAUCUGUAAGAUGGGGCUAAUGAUGUCUCCCAAACAGGGUGGUUGUAAGGAUGAAGUGUGAGGGGCCUAGGAAGGGAGGCCUGGAAAGAGGGAAGAGGACUGCUCAUCGCUGGGCUGAGGCUGCAGCCACCCUGUGCUAGGUGCUGUGCUACAGCCUGGGUCACUCUGCCAGGACCUAUAGGCUCCCUGCUUGGGGCAUGGUGCCCUGACCCUCGGCUCACGUCUGCCCAGAUCCUUACAGCUGAUGGAACCCUUUGCUCCAAGAGACGAGGUUGGCACACCGUGGUCUCAAUAAAUGUUUGUCGAGUAAACAGAUGAAGAUGUCCUUCGAUCUUCACAACAGUUUUGAGAAGCAAAAUGAAAAAGGACUCUCCCUUGACCCAAUAGAAAGGGAAGUUUGGACUCACCUCAAGGUGCUGUCACUAGCCAUGUGUUCCAGAGCAGCAACAUAACUUCUCAAAGCCUCUGUCACUUCAUUUGUAAAGCAGGACUUUGUCACUAUUGCUAGGUUAUAGGACUAUCCUGAAGAGCUGCUGAGACAACAUACGGGGGAAACAUUUCUAUAAAUUAUUUUUUGAUGAGGGAAUUGAGGUUUAUAGGGGUUAAGUGACUUGCCCACAGUCAAUCAGUAAAUUGUGAAGCCAAAACUUAAACUCGGGACCAGAGAGUUCCUGGGCGUGAGACAAACAAACGAACAAACAACAACAACAACAACAAAACCCCAAAACACUCAAAUAAUAUGUGGUUGCAGAGAAGGGAUGCAGAUAUUUGAAGAACAGACCUGAGGCUGUGUCAGCCCCCAAGGCACAUCUGAUGGGGAGUGUGUUGAGUUGAACUUUGCAGGAGGGAAGGGCUAGGCCUUUGGUAAAGUUUUUUUUUUUUUUUUUUUUUUUUUGAGACAGGGUCUCCCUCUAUCACCCAGGCUGGAGUGCAGUGGCACCAUCACAGCUCACUGCAGCCUCGACCUCCUGGGUUCAGCCAAUCCUCCCACCUCAGCCUCCUGAGUAACUGGGAUCACAGGCGCAUGCCACCACAUACCUGACUAAUUUUUUUUUAAUAGAGGUCUCACUGUGUUGCCCAGGCUGGUCUCAAAUUCCUGGGCUCAAGCAAUCCUCCUGCCUAGGCCUCCCAAACUGCUGGGAUUACAAACAUGAGCCACUGCGCCUGCCAGUGAAGAUGCUUUUUGAUAGGAGGACCAGCCUAGGAGAAAAUUCAGAGAUGAAUAAGCAAGGUAUUUUGUUUGUCCACAACAGAGAACCUGACAGGGAAGCUAAGAGGGAGGAAGCAGCUGUGGGGGAGGAACAUUUGUCAUUUCCAGAGGACACUGCUGCCAGGAGAGGGGCUCUCUGUAGCCCAGAGAGCCGUGGAGAGAGGGCUCCCCAACUCACAGCGCAGGAGGAGGGGAGUCAGAGCUGCUCUGCGCACAAGCUGCCCUGGAGGCACACUAGACAGGGAAGGGGCCGUGCAUCACUGACCACCUGUCAUGUCACCUGUGAUCACAGUAGGAUCGGGUGAAGGCCUCAUACCCCCUGGUGUGAUUGUCAUUUUCCACCCCAUUGUACAGGUGGGGCUCGGAGAGUUAGGUCACUGGCCACUUCCUAGAAUCCCUCCACCCCAACACACCCUGGCUGCCCCCCUAGUGCAUGCUGGGACCCCUCCAGCCCCAGAAUCCACAUGUCUGCUCUCCCCAGUGAACUCCAGGGUAGCUCCAUGCGGGGAGCCUGGCAGGCAGGCUGGCAUUACCUAAUUGCUGGCCGGCUUCUUUUAUCCCUUCAUUUUUUCAAGCUGCCUGGUUCUAAAAGUCUCAGACAGACAAAUGAGACUCCAGCCUUGUUCUGUUCGAGCUCCAGCAAAAGGAGGAGAUCACAGGCUGUCGCCUCAAUGGGGCAACAGCCAGAUCUAAAGGCACAAAGCACUGGGGGCAGCGGAUGUCUUUAGCGAACGACAAAGCCCAGGCCAAUGCCCUACUUACGGCUGAGACUUUUCUUCUUGGGCUGUGUCUUGUGCUGUGAGGUGCCUGGGGUCAGCACUGCUAGUGCCAGGACUUGAUCAUCAGCCAGCCUCCCUGGGGAGAUGAGCCCUUGUUAGGGCCAAACCUCAGCAUCCUAAAAGCCUCUCCUACCUCAACCAGGCAGGUGUUUCUGGGUUCAGGGGAGAAAAAUCUAGUCAGAGGAAUGCAUACUGCUGCAUGGCCUCAAACAGGCCUUCAGGCUUGGGGACUGGAGCCGACUCCCCAGGGCAGAAUAGGUACAGGCUGCCCAGCUGUAAAAGCAGGGCUCUGCCCCUCUGGGCUCCAGCUCCAAGGCUGUGGCACCUACCUGGGAAAGAAAAGUCCCUGGAGAAGCCGAGCAGAUCUGGCCUCGUCCUGUCCUUGUCCUGGCUGGUAGGUGGAGUGGAUAGAGCGUCCCUGACUCCCUCCUUGAACUGUGAGCAUCUCCAGGGCGGGAACUGUCCCCCAUAGGACUUGCUAUCUCCUGGCACAUGUUAGCAUUUACUGGGGCCAAGCACUGUUCUGAGUGUUUUAAGUAAACUAAUCCACUUAAUCCUCACCUCAACCCUAGGAGGUGUUACUCCCAUUUUUCAGAUAGAGAAACUGACACACAGAAAGAUUAGCUUCAAAAAGCUCAUAAAUGGGGAAUUGAAUCCAGGCAGCCUGGCUCCAGAACCCAAAUUAUUAGCCAUUAUACUGUACUGAAUAAGUAAAUAAUACAUGAAUAUAUGAAGAAAGGAAUGAACGGCUUGUAGAGAGAAUGACAUGAAAGUUCUCUGUUCAAAAGUAUUUCCUCUAUUAACAGUUUCAGGGCCUGUGAAUGCACUAUUGAAAUGCACAUUCAGUUUUAACUAAUGUGCUAUUCUCUUCAAAAAUGCUCCUAAGAAAUUGGGGUGAUAGCAAUUAUUGGCCAUGCUCUGUGGCCCCCGGAAUGUCUAGGGGAGGCCCAAGCUCUGGGAAGAACUUAAGCUAAUACCCGAGGAGGGAGAAACAAGGAGUUGGGUGUUUCUGCAGAGAACCCUGCUAGUUAUAUUAAUGAUGUGGCACAGGGACAGGAACACAGACUGUGAAGCCUCUGAGCUGGGUGUGUCUCUCACUGGCUUUCGGGCCUGGGGUGAGUCAUGCGGCCUCCCCGAGCUCCAGUGGCCCCAUCUGCCAGGGAAAUGCUGGUCCCUACCUGAUGGCUUAUGGUUAAAUAAGCUAUUGUAGUUAAUGCAUCUGGCACAGGAUAGAUGGUCAAUAAAUGGUAGCUGCUAUUGUUAUUAAACAAAUUAUAGGCAAAAAACUCAAGUCAGUAAUGAUCACCAGUCUGAGCCCCCUUCUUAAAGUGAUGCUUGCACUGGUGACCCUAUUUCUGGUCUCCUGGACACUCCAGUCAUGAUACUCCAAGGGCAAUAGCUUCUUCUCCCAGUGUCUUUCCUGGUUGUCUUCAUCCCUUCUCUUGCCACUGCCUUGGCCUGGGUUCCCACUGCCUGUCACCGGGACUCAGUCAAGUCUGAGAGAUUGAGAGCAUCUAUGAUAAAGCCAGCUGGAAGGAGCCCUGCUAAGCAGCCACCUCUGCUAAGCAGCCACCUCUGCCAAACAGUCACCUCUGCCAGUGUCCUCCUCUUUUUCUGGCUUCAACUCUUGGCACUCUAGCUUCUCUUCACUCCCCACCCCCUUUUCUCACUCUUCUCUCUCUGAUCAUUCCAUGGGUCUCUUUGGCUUUGGUUGAGCUCUAAUUAAGUUCCACAGCAGGUGGCAAUGAAGACAGCUUCUCUCCUGCAAGUGCUCAUCAAAGGGUUGUGCACAAGAAACUUGGACAAGAGGUAAAAAGAAGCCUGGCCCCUGGGGACAAGGAUGGGGCAGUCGGAGAACUCCUCGUGCAGCCAGUGCUCCGAAGGUGCAGAGUGAAGAUUUGCAGACUUGCUGUGUAUCCCGGCAUAAUGCCGUUUGUCCAUCUGCCACACUAGGACAGAAACUCUUCAUUCUGAGCAUAUGGAAGCUGAGAAGGAGGUCGGAGGCAACAGGAGCGGGAGGAGACCGGAAAGGACCAGGACAAAAUGGGGCCCUGGCACCUUCCUGGACAUGCGGCAGAGCCCCGUGGAAUCAGGGACUGAUGCAAGUGGAGUACUUAGCACACUGCCUGGCACAGAUGAGUGCUCAGUGCAUGCUGGCCUGUGGUGCUGGGUGUUAAGAGGGGCAGCUUUUAUUGGAAAGAAUAAAGAAUCAUAAGCAUAAAACAUCUGGUCACAGCCUCUCCUGCUGCCAGGGCCCUUGGUGGCUUACCAUGGUCUCAGGAGCAAAGGGCCCCCUACCAGAGCUUGAAAACCCACACAGUCACCCCAUCGACCUCCUGGCCUCCGCUCCUGCUGCUGCUCACCUGUGCCAGCCAGAAGGAAAGUACUUCCUUCAGUUCUUCAAGGGCCUCUUCUUGUCUCAAGACACUUGCACUCAGGAACUUGCUCUGUUGCACUUCCCUCCACCUAGUCAAGGCCUAAACAGCCUUAUUCUGACAGGUCAUAGUUCGCUUCCUUAAGAAAUGACCUCUGACUGUUCCUGGUUCCCACCCCAUCACGUGUGUCCCUUUGUGACCAUCUCUCCA
rnacentral:lncRNA from 1 species